CAGAAUCAUCCUCUCUAUAUAUAAACAUAUAUUAGUCUUCUCCCACUUCUAUCUUCAAUCUCAUUUCCAAUUUCUCACUUCAUUCUUCUUCUGCAAUCUCAAAUUCGUUAGUCCCCUUAUUUUCCAUCUAAUCUCUUUUCUAUGUUUUAGAUCUUCCAUUUCUAACGCUGUUUCGUACUUGAUCCCUAAAUUGAUUUUAUCUUCGUUUCUACUGCGAUCAUCGCUGGUUUUCUGUUUGUUAAGCCUCAUUGUUAUUUGUUUUUUUUAUCACGAUUUACUUAAUUUUGCAACAAGAUCAAUAUAGUUAUAGGAUAUGUGUUAAUAUAUUCUUAAUUUUGUGAUUCACUUUUUACAUUUUUAUAUGACUUUGUUUAUGGCGAUUUCUCUGUAUAGAGUAAUGAGAGAAUUGUUUACCUAUAAAGAGAACAUCUAUUUGAUUUUGUAUCAUAAGGCUCAAUCGGAUUCUGGAAACAAUUUUUUUUUUCCGCUUGCGAGUAAGGCUAUAUAUAUCAACCAGGAGCGUCACUUUUUUUUAGAUUGACAUGAUCUAUUAAUUUUGUCUUUUAGGUUGCACAUCAUAAAUCAAUGAAUUUGGUCUAUGAAAAAAGAAAAAGAUUUGUAAGAUUCUUAUCUGAUGAUAGUGUGCAAAGGCAAGGAUGAAAAUGAUAUUUUCUUCUAAUCUUAGGACUAAAUUGAUCAAUGAUCAACAAUGUCAAUUUUAGGAACCAAUGCAACAUUUUAGGCUAUGCUAAAAAUUCUUUAGCAUUGGGUGUCUUGGAUCCGAGAUCCCAUAAUUUGAUGUUUCUUUUGUUGGUUUGUUAACAAUUCGUAAUCGAACCGGUUAUAUCUCAUAGCAAUCAAACCUUUGACCUUUUGUUGGUUCUGGGAUCUAACGAAACCUUACCUUGCACUGUAGCGUUAAUUGUGUAAACAUUUACAUACAGUUAUACAUCAACCGCCAUUCGUUUGUGUUACUACUUUUUUUUUUUUGAAGAGUCAUUGAUAAUUAUAAAAUGAAUCAGAUAAUAUAGUGAUAGUGUAAAAAACUCUUACAAUAUGUGUAUAUGUAUUUAUUUAUUAUUUAUUGUUCAGUCUUUGUUGUUGCUUUUAUUUAGUGUAAGUCUGUUAACAAUUCGUAAUUGUGAAUCAUCAGCUAUUGGCUUUGAAACAUGGGAGGUGGUAAGGACAAACAUGAUGAAUCUGACAAAGGGUUUAUGUCAAACCUUGCUCACGGUGUAGCUAAUUCUUCACAUGGGUACCCACCUGGGGCUUACCCUCCACAACAUGGGGCUUACCCUCCACAAGGGUACCCACCCCAACAAGGGUACCCUCAACAAGGUUACCCACCCCAACAAGGGUACCCACCACAAGGGUACCCACCACAACAAGGGUACCCACCAGCUGGGUAUCCUCCUUCUGGUUAUCCUGGUUCUGCUCCACAUGCCCCAGGGGCCCAUGGACAUGGAGGAAUAGGAGGAAUGCUUAUGGGGGGUGCUGCCGCAGCAGCUGCUGCAUAUGGUGCUCACCAAGUCUCCCACGGAGCUCAUGGUGCCUAUGGAGCACACGGAGCUUAUGGACAUGGUGGUGCUCACAUGCCCCAUGGGAAAUUCAAGAAUCAUGGCAAGUUCAAGCAGGGAAAGCAUGGUAAGUUUGGAAAGCAUGGAAAGUUCGGCAAGCAUGGUAAGGGGUUCAAGAAGUGGAAGUAAGGAAUGACUUUGAAUGCAUGCUGCUCUGUUGAGUAGUGCUUAUUGCUUUAUAAAUAAAUAAACCAUACAUUGUGUGAUGGUCCUCUUUUUUUUUUUCUUCAUGUUUUUAUGUGCUGUUGGCUGUUACAUAAAAUUAGAUUCUAGAAACUGAUCAGAGAAAAUACAGUUUCACUGUAUCAAGACUUUGAAAUUAAUUUAAUGCCUAUUUUGUUUUGUGAUGCUCUAUGUGAAUCUUCAUUUGAUUGGCUUUGUUUUCACCCUGGAAAAAUCAACCCGUUGCUACUGGUGCAUUUCAUGGCCUUAGCAUUUUUUUCACUCAUAUAAGAGUGGUGAUGAAAGUUAGAAUAAAAAAUCAAAAUGUUUUGGUCUCUCUAAUUUGGGGUAACUGAGAAUCA
rnacentral:lncRNA from 1 species